rnacentral:rRNA from 1 species
AUUGAACGCUGGCGGCGGGCCUAACACAUGCAAGUCGGGCGUGAAAGUCCUUCGGGAUGAGUAAAGCGGCGGACGGGUGAGUAACGCGUAGGAAUCUACCUGAUGGUGGGGGAUAACGUCCCGAAAGGGGCGCUAAUACCGCAUACGUUCUGAGGAAGAAAGCAGGGGUCGCAAGACCUUGCGCUAUCAGAUGAGCCUGCGUCCGAUUAGCUAGUUGGUGGGGUAAAGGCCUACCAAGGCGACGAUCGGUAACUGGUCUGAGAGGAUGAUCAGUCACACUGGAACUGAGACACGGUCCAGACUCCUACGGGAGGCAGCAGUGGGGAAUAUUGGACAAUGGGGGCAACCCUGAUCCAGCCAUGCCGCGUGUGUGAAGAAGGCCCUCGGGUUGUAAAGCACUUUAAGCGGGGAGGAAGGCUCGGCAGCUAAUACCUGUCGGGAUUGACGUUACCCGCAGAAUAAGCACCGGCAAACUUCGUGCCAGCCGCCGCAGUAA